rnacentral:rRNA from 1 species
GUGAAAUUGUUGAAAGGGAAACGCUUGAAACGAUUGUUAUCAACUUUAGCCAUUUUUUUUUAACAAAAAUGGCUAGAGAAAUAAUUGAUAAGGCAGCAGCAAUUUUGCUUGGCUUUGACGUCUUGACGAAAAUGUAGCCUUCGGGUGUUAUAGUUUGUCUCUGCCACCAAGCCAAGCGGGAUUGAGGAUCGCCGGGUUUUUUGCGCGCUUUUUUUGCUCAUGUCUAGCGGCCGUUGAUAAGGCGUUGCUUUGCCAACACUUGUCAGCGCUCGUUAGGCAUUGUGCAAACAGCACGUUAGACUUGAAGGUUGCUGUCAAAAUGGUUUUAAUCGACCCGUCUUGAAACACGGACCAAGGAGUGCAACAAACAUGCAAGUCGUAGGGUGUCAAAACCUGAAGGCGCAAUGAAAGUGAAAAGCAAGACAUUUUCGCUCGACGAAAAUAGCACUGCUGCCCGAUUUUGCGGCCCAAAGCCAAAGAAUUUGAGGUUGAGCAUGUUUGCUGCGACCCGAAAGAUGGUGAACUAUGCCUGCAUAGGGCAAAGUCAGAGGAAACUCUGAUGGAGGCUCGUAGCGAUUCUGACGUGCAAAUCGAUCGUCAAAUGUGGGUAUAGGGGCGAAAGACUAAUCGAACCAUCUAGUAGCUGGUUUCCGCCGAAGUUUCCCUCAGGAUAGCAGAGAUUCACAUUAAAUUAGUUUUAUGAGGUAAAGCGAAUGAUUAGAGGAAUGGGGGGCGAAACGCUCUUCACCUAUUCUCAAACUUUAAAUAUGUAAGAUGUUCUUGUUG